ACCACACCACACUCUCGGGAAGAUUUUUUAUUCUCUACACCGUAGAAGAGGAAUUCGGUACCUGCGGUAGCUUCGCCGUCCUCGGGCUGGAGCGCCAUUUUAAAUUUGCAUGCCCCGCCCUCUCCGCGCGGGUAGGUGUAGCCGCGCGGGUUGAUCCGCCCAGUCCUCGGCACCGCCUCUGCGCGCACGAGCGGAGGCUGGGCCGGGGCGGACCUCUUCGUUGGCACCAGCUCUCCCGUAGACAGAAUUCGGGGGAAUUGGGGGUGGGAGAAUAGAGGAGGGCGUCUGCGCAAUUGAUUCGCAGCAGACUGGUCCGAGUACGAAAAACGUCAUCUGGUCUUCACUGUGAAGACGACAGGGUCCCACGGGCUGGCUCUGUCCAGGCCGAAGACCCAGUCGAAGGCUGGGAGUCCAGGAGUGCCUGUCCGGUGUCGCCUGGCAGGGGCUGCGGUGAGAACUGGGGACCCGAGAUCGCUCCCUGCGAGCACUGCUGCCCUGGUUGUCAGGACCCCCGCCCUGCCGCGGCUGCAGGCCACUAGGGCAAACUCCUUCACCUCCAGAGCCUUAACUCCCCAGCUGAGAAGUGGAAACCUUAGUGCCUACCGUGUGGGGUUGAGGGGCUAUAAAGGGAGCUAGUGAGGCGACCUUGGUUUGGUAGUCUAGAAUGUGGGCCCUAGUGUCCAACGAGGUUCCAGUGAAGGCGUCAUGGCUGUGACACUGAAACAACUGAGCAGCUGUGUUGCCUGUAACAACACAAGAGGAAACAUUUAUUGCUUGGGCCGGGCUUUGCGCUAAGUGCUUUCCUUAUAUCAGACUUUCAAAGUUUACCUACAGACGGAGCGGUUGACACAGAGAGGGUGAGCAACUUUGCCCAAGACUACACAGCUACUUAGCGGAAGAGGUCGGAUCCAUCUAUGAAGAGCACGGGACCUAGAAAAGGGCACCAAAAGAAAGAGAAGUGGUUCUUGUGUGUCCCGCCCACUAUGAGAAAAAUCUUCUGAUAUCCUGUUUUUAAGAGUCUUGAUUCAACUGAUUCUCUGGUAUCACACCUAACUCUGUGCCUGUCACCGUGUGGGUCCUGGGAUCACACAGGUGAACGUGACCUCGUCCCUGUGGUCAGCAAGGGGCAUCUGCCGUGUUCUUCCAUUCCUCUCCUCUGGCUGCCGCUCAACCACAUCCACUGCUCUUUGCUGCCGAGGAAGCCUUGCACGCUCAGAUAAGGUCUGCCCGUGCCGAGGCUGCCAACUCCAAGCGCUUCUAAGUGUUCCAUCCCUGGGCAUCAGAAGCCUGCUGGGUGCCCUGCCAGCUGGGGAGGACAGCCUCUUCAAGUCCAGGCCUCACUGUAUCUGUUUUUCCUGGCCCUGCAGCAGCGCUGCCUUCCCCUCAAGUUUUACCCUGACCCCUUGGACAGCUCCCUCAGGUUUCUUUUCAUCACUUGUCAGCUUGCCCUAGUUGAAGAGACAGGGAGGGAGAUACCAUUUUGUUUUCUCUGACCUCCUCUCCCUUCUCUCUGACCCCGCCCUCUCGCCCUCAAUUCUCCUUUCUCCCGCCUUCUCCCUUUUCCCAGUCACAGAACAAAAGCUUUCACUUUUAUGACUAGCAACAGAACUGGAUCGGUCUGUCUGACUUCGCAGUCGGAAAGGGAGAUGGUUUUUCCCAGCCACGUGAUCAGGGGGUGCGCGUGGACCAGCAGACCUUCUGCUCCUCACCCCCCUGCCCCCGCCCCGAACGUGCUCGGGGUCCUGGCGCUACAACGUAAGAGUCUGUGUGCUGGAGAGCAAGUUUCCUGCCCGGCUAGACUGGAUCCAUCAAACUAGUUAGACUCAACCAAGAACUGGGCUUUUCGCAACUUGGCUGCCAUCACGGAGGCCAGCAAAUCCCCACAUUUUCUUUUUGGUCUUUCAACAGCCCCCAACAGAAGGCGUCACACUCCACAGUGAUGCCUGAUUUUGUCCAUUCCAAGAUGCCCAUCGUUUUCACAGCUUUACGUCUCAGGAGCCAGCAUGCGUCUUACAUUCGACGCCAGGAGAAAGCACUCUCGCCGUUUAACAUCGCAGCACGUCUUUCUUUGUUUCUUUCGUCCUGUCUUUCUUCAGGGCUAGGUAAAAGAACGGUACCUCUCACAAAAGAUGGCAUCUUAAAUUCGUGAACUACUAUAACAAUAAAAGCCUCUGUUUAUUGAA